rnacentral:tRNA from 1 species
GGGCAAUUAGCUCAGUUGGUUAGAGUAUCACCUUGACAUGGUGGGGGUCACUGAUUCGAAUUCAGUAUUGCCCA